rnacentral:rRNA from 1 species
UACAGAGGUGGCAAGCGUUGUUCGGAAUUACUGGGCGUAAAGGGCGCGUAGGCGGCUUGGUCAGUCCCGUGUGAAAUCCCUCGGCUCAACUGAGGAACUGCCUUUGAAACUGUCGGGCUUGAGGCCGGGAGGGGGUAGCGGAAUUCCCAGUGUAGCGGUGAAAUGCGUAGAUAUUGGGAGGAACACCAGUGGCGAAGGCGGCUACCUGGACCGGUUCUGACGCUGAUGAGCGAAAGCUAGGGGAGCAAACGGG